CCUAAAGCGCAGGGUGGAAUGGGGUUCCGGGAUCUCGAGCUGUUCAAUACAGCUCUCCUCGGGAAACACGGUUGGCGGCUGAUGACAAAUCCAGAAUCUCUUUGCGCGCGAGUUCUUAAAGGAAGAUAUUAUCCCACUAGUGAUUUUAUGAAAGCUACAGCUCCUCGCUUCUCCUCUUCAACCUGGCGUGCUAUAAUUGCUGGG
rnacentral:rRNA from 1 species